AUAAUGGGUCAGCGACUUAUAUUCUGUAGCAAGGUUAACCGAAUAGGGGAGCCGAAGGGAAACCGAGUCUUAACUGGGCGUUAAGUUGCAGGGUAUAGACCCGAAACCCGGUGAUCUAGCCAUGGGCAGGUUGAAGGUUGGGUAACACUAACUGGAGGACCGAACCGACUAAUGUUGAAAAAUUAGCGGAUGACUUGUGGCUGGGGGUGAAAGGCCAAUCAAACCGGGAGAUAGCUGGUUCUCCCCGAAAGCUAUUUAGGUAGCGCCUCGUGAAUUCAUCUCCGGGGGUAGAGCACUGUUUCGGCAAGGGGGUCAUCCCGACUUACCAACCCGAUGCAAACUGCGAAUACCGGAGAAUGUUAUCACGGGAGACACACGGCGGGUGCUAACGUCCGUCGUGAAGAGGGAAACAACCCAGACCGCCAGCUAAGGUCCCAAAGUCAUGGUUAAGUGGGAAACGAUGUGGGAAGGCCCAGACAGCCAGGAUGUUGGCUUAGAAGCAGCCAUCAUUUAAAGAAAGCGUAAUAGCUCACUGGUCGAGUCGGCCUGCGCGGAAGAUGUAACGGGGCUAAACCAUGCACCGAAGCUGCGGCAGCGA
rnacentral:rRNA from 1 species